GAGUGAGUCAGCUACUCCUAAUGUUAGGGGUCCUCCUGCUCUUGUGUUUAAAUUCUCAGAGCUGGAAGAGAAGCUUAAGGCGGGUUACAAGGCCACAACUACGGGGAAAUUUACAGAGGCUUUACGACUUCUCCUUGGUAUUCUGCAUACUAUUCCUUUGAUUGUAGUUGAUUCAAGGAGAGAGGUUGAUGAAGUAAAAGAAUUAAUUAUCAUUGUGAAGGAGUAUGUUCUGGGUUUGAAGAUGGAGCUUAAGAGGAGGGAACUUAAGGACAAUCCCGUUCGCCAACAGGAGCUAGCAGCUUACUUCACCCACUGUAACCUUCAGAUGCCUCACUUGAGACUUGCAUUACUGAAUGCCAUGAGUGUUUGCUUUAAGGCUGGUAAUCUCAACACAGCAGCCAACUUUGCCAGGCGACUUUUGGAGACCAAUCCCACCACUGAAAACCAUGCAAAGACUGCAAGACAAGUCCUCCAGGCUGCCGAGAAGAACAUGAAUGAUGCAACCCAGCUAAAUUAUGAUUUCAGAAAUCCAUUUGUGGUUUGUGGUGCAACAUAUGUGCCUAUUUACCGUGGGCAGAAGGAUGUUUCAUGCCCGUACUGCAGUUCUCGGUUUGUUCUGGCCCAGGAAGGGCAGCUCUGUACUGUUUGUGAUCUUGCAGUGGUUGGAGCGGAUGCAUCUGGGUUGCUUUGUUCUCCUACCCAGAUAAGAUGAUCUCCUGCUGCUCGAGUAGGAGCAAUUUUUCAACCUUCAGCUACACUACAACAACGGUUAUGUUAGUUUCCUCAUCUCCUUGAGCAGGGUUUCCAUUUUAAACAAAGGGAUUUGAUUAGGUUGUGCUUCUCUUGUAUUUCUAUUUCAAAUUUUAUUGCAAGGUUCAUGAUAAUGGUUUUCACUGUAAUGAACAGGUUAAGGAUUUUGAUCUAGGUGAUUCUUGUGUCUUUUGAGAAUAAACAAAUUAGAUUGAGCUGGCAAAUUAAUUGCUUUUCCCGAAAUGUGUAACUUUGAAAUUUCAUAUAUUGUAGACAGCAACACUUUCCUGUUAAAUUUUCUUCUCGAAUUCCAUCAUGAGAAAUGCAAGCUGAGCUGACAGGGUUUUAAAUAUACUGUGUUUUAAUUUUAUUUCAUGGGGGUGCCCGAGUAGUUUUGCGUUAAUCUUCACUCAUUCUUCUUGUUACAAUUUAUUUUUCCACAUAGCUUUACAACGCAGUACAUUGUAGUAUGUACUCUGAUAUGCCCUUUUCUCAAAUGAGGCACUGUCUCAAAAUCAAAACAAACUAAUAUUGGUAAGAUUUCCUACAUUACAUCACUAUUGACCAGUCGAUGAGCUAUCGCCCGUUGUGUCGCAUUAACAUUUUGAUUUCGAUUCGCAUGCUGUCGUACACAGUAGUUGCAUCAGUAGUUGUACCAGUACUAGAACAAUUGUCACCUCUAACAGAAGCCAUUGAAGCUGACCCAAGUAAGUAUUCAGUGUCCUCUGGGCCGAAAUUGGCCUUUCCCCAUGGAUGCUUUGCCAUAAUCAUCAUCCCCUCCAGCUCCAUGGCUAUGUGUUUCAUGGUAGGCCUUUCCUCCCUUUUUACCCUUAAACAUCUAUUUGCAAGAUCAGCCACUUUUUUAAGUGUCUCAAUAUUUCCCUCAUUGACUAUGUCUUCAUCAAGAAUUUGAUUCAAGCGACCCUGUUCCACUGAACAAACAAAGAAGCUCGCUAGAUUUCUCUCUGCCUCAGGCCUGGCAAAAGAAAGUGCCACUUUGCUUGUUAGUAGCUCUGCAAGGACAACUCCAAAGCUAUACACGUCACUCUUUUCCGUUAGUUGGUUUGAAUGGAAGUAUUCAGGGUCCAAGUACCCGAGUGUUCCUUGCACUAAUGUAGUUAUUUGAGCUUGAUCUAGAGGAAUCAACCGUGAAGCUCCGAAGUCAGACACUUUUGCUAUGUAAUUUUCAUCUAAGAGUACAUUCGUCGUCUUCACAUCUCGGUGUAUGAUCGGGAUGGAAAUGGAGGAGUGUAAGUAUGCCAGUGCUCCUGCAGUCUCUGCGGCUAUCUUCAACCGCAGCUCCCAUGAAAGUAAAGAUUCUCUGCAUUUGUUGUGAAUAUGCUCCGACAAAGUCCCGUUGAUGAUGAACUCGUAAACCAACAAUGGCAUCGGCGUCUCUAAACAACAACCUAACAGCCUCACCACAUUCCUAUGGUUGAUUUGAGAAAGAACAAUCACCUCGUUAACAAAUUGCUCAUUCUGAGCGGGGGCACAAAUCUUGGACUUUUUUAUGGCAACCACUUUGUCAUCUUCUAGUAUUCCUUUGUACACUGUUCCAUAUCCUCCUUCACCAAGGACUCUGCUUUCAUGGUAAUUGUUUGUAGCCUUCUCGAGUUCUUCUGCAGUAAAAAUUUUCGUUGUCUGCACAGGUCCUCUGCGACUAGCGAGUUGUUGCUGCAACAAGAAGCCACCAUUUUCUUGAAAGUAUUUUUCUUUGAGUUUGAUGAACCUCCUUUUCUUCGUUCCCCAAUAAGUCCAUGAACUUCCAACCAGCAAAACCAACAAGGCUACUGUCAUAGCUGCAAAUCACAACCAGAUUUGAUUUCAUAAGUAUUUUGUAUAAUAAUCUACUUAAAUAAAUAUAGGAUGCAUUUUAACAGUUCACCAGAUGUGCAUACCCAAUGAAAUAGUAAGCAAGUGAAUGCCCUUAAAAAGAUUGCUGGUGUUGUCUUUGCUGCAACCUGUUCCAGCUUUCAUUCCGUCGCCUUUGAAACCUUUUGGACAUACACAAGAAUAAUUUCCAAGUACGUUUACACACGCUCCUGCACUGCAGGGGUUUGAAAUCUGGCACUCGUCGGUAUCUGAAAAGAACAGAGGAUCCAUUUCCAUUAGCAAACACCUAAUUAAGGCUCAUAAUUAUCAAAUUAGAUGUAUAUAAGAGAUCAUAAUCAGUACCUUGACAACCGUCUGGGAGGUAUGGAUUUCCUUCAUAACCUGGCAAACAUUCACAAAAAUAACCAGACAGAUUGAGGGGGUUGACACAUGUGCUAUUUCCCUUGCAUGCAUAAUCCUGCCUAUGUUGAGCUGCAUCACAUGGUUCAUCCCCAAUUGCCCAGUUGAGAACCAUCGGAAGCCGGCUUAUAGAUUUCAGUUCUUGGAAACUUUUACUAGAGAAUGUGAACUGGCCUUCUUCCACAAUGAAGGAGUAGCUGCAGGGGUUGAAGUCCCAUAUAAAUGUAUGAUUGUAGUAACUACUCAUUGUCACGGUACGCACUUGAAGUCCACUUGGGAUUGAAGUUUGGCAGCACCCAAUGCCAGAGCAAGACUCACUAAUGCUUCCAAGGCUCUCACAGAAGGUCAUGCACCCAGUUAUGUACUUUUCUUUGCCCCGACCACCUUCGAAGAUUGCGUAAGUGUCACAACCAACGGCAAUGAACUUGUUUUUGGUGCCGGAGAUUGUGUAAGGAGGGAAAAGCUUGAGCCUUGGGGUGUUGCUGAGUUUUGUGUCUAAAGAACCAUCUUGGUCAUAGCAAUCCCUGGCUACAAAUUGCAUUAUUUGUAACUCACCAUUAAGGGAUAAGUUGGAAAUUGGGAUCCCAGUUCCAUUCAAAUAUGGUGUUGGGGUUUGGUUGGUUUCAUUACAAUCAAUGAAAAAUUCAUCUCUGAGGUAACAGCCUUUAGCUAUGCCAAAUGGAAAUGGAAUUGACAAAUUUCCACAUUGGUUUGGGCAGCCAGGCAAGGCUUGAGCUUCUGCAGCUGCUAAUACAACCAAUCCCACUAAGAAGAGUUGCAGAAUAAUCCCAUGUAAGGCCAUCCAAUCCAAUCAAAGCCAGUGUGUUUCAAGAGGAAUGUAUCUUCCUCCCCCUCACUACUAAUUUGUACGCUCUACUUUUCCAGUCCAACAAGUUUUCUAAGCCGGCUCUAAUUCUUGUUUACCGGUUCACAUUCCAAACAAGAUGAUGACAAAAUAAGGACCCAUGUCCUUUUAUUAUGUGACAAAGCCAGGACAAAUCUACAACAAUAAUAAAGAAGAAAGCAUACAUGUUUUUGUUUGUUUUGGGCCGGCCAAAAAUCAAAUAUGCGUACUUGAUCCUGACUUCAAAUUGGUUUUUUUAUGUGUUUUUUUUCACUACAUGAGAGCUGGAAGGCCUUGGCUUGUAAUGGAAAAAGGGUCAAAGGGAUGAAAGCUUUGCCUGCGUGGUUUGACUGUUUUUCUUCACUGGCAUUCAGGGGCUUCCAAACCCAUAUGUAUUUGUUUAUUGUACAUCAAAUUUCUGGCUUCAGAAAAAUACUAUAAAUAAUAUUACUUCCAAACACUAAAUGCCAAUUAUAGAUCAAUUUCCUUACGUGCUGCUUUUGUCUUCCUCACCUACAAUUUCAUGCAAAUCCUUUUGACGUAGCAAUUAGUCUAUGCUGCUGCAAGCAGUUUAUGAAUUAUAUAUCAGAUGGAGAAAAUUACAAAAGUAGAAAUUGAAGGGAUGGAAAAUAACAUUAAACUUUAUAUACAUGCUAUAUAUAUAUAGAUUCUUCAAAUAAUUUUAUUUGAGGAACAUCCUUUACAGUGUGUUAAGAUGAGGAAAUUUAAAAAUACAAAGGAUUUCAUAAAUAACAGAAAUUAAUAUUCUAGAAUUUGUAAAGUUUUUUGUUUGGGUGACGGAUUUAAAACACGGAAUUUAACCUUUAUUUGUAAAGUUAUUUUUUUAAAAACUCAAUCUCUCUCGGGAUUUUAGAAAUGACGACUUUUAUAUGGAAUUUAAAGUUGGGAUUUAGGAUCUCCAAAUUCCAUAUUUUUUCCCACGCGGAAUUUCUAAAUUUCUAUGUUUUUUUUUAAUUCAAACACGGGAAUUGGUUUAUGUCAAUUUAGAAAUUCCGACUUUUGUCAAAAUCCCAAGUUUAUUUCUCUCAUCCAAACGCACCGUUAGGGUAUCCUACGAAAUUUUUUUCAUCUAUCUAAAUCAUCUAUUUUUCACAUCUUUAUUCAUAGAUAUCAUUGCAAAAAAUCAUGCAAAUUGAAAAUCAUUAAGGUAUCUAAUUGAGAUCAAUAAAAUUAAUGAACAAGAUGCUUCAAGAAAUUACUUAAAUUUCAAUGAUGUAAUUGAGUGAUAAAAUGAUAUCGGAUUCAAGUUUUGUCGAGGUCAACAGUUUGACUUUCAAUAUUGUGGGUCAAAAGUCGAAAGUCUAAAAAAGAAAAAAGACCACACGUAGAGCCCAAAUCUGAUUACAACCCGACCCAUUGCCUACAGAGAAAUUGAUUGCGGUUACUACGGCAAAAAUCCCCAAAUCAAUUCGACAAGAGAGAAUCCCUAAACCUAACUCCCAAGACGACGUCGCCGCUCGCACUACCGUAGCCGCCGGGAAACCUCUGUCGAGUUACUAAAGAGAAGGUAAACACUGGAUUUUACAAUGGAUAUCUAAUUGGUUGAAAAUUGCAUCUUCAUUUCUUGACCCAAAAAAAAAAAUUUGCAUCUUCAUUUUUUUUUCUUUCUAUUUCCAUACAUCGCACUCUGUAAAAUAUCAAAGUUUGCAUCUUUUUUCAAAAGUUGAUCGAAAACAUGAAACUACAGAGACAAGACUACCCACUAACACUUCUCGCAUUAAUGGCGGACCCAAUGUAGGCUGCAAUUGCCCCUAUUUAAAAAAAUAUAUAUAUUCACAAGCUUAUAUAGCCUCACUCCCACUUAUUUUGUUGUAGUAGUAAAUGUAGGAUUCUAACUCAAUAUGUUUGAAGAACUGAAUUUGAUUUUGGCUGGUGGCUGUGUUUAACUUAUUUAGAGUAUCCGAUAUCAAUCUGUAAAUGAAAUGAUAGGCAUGUAACUAAGAUUUGUUUCAUGCGAAGAUUUAGAUUUAUGCAAUUUGUUUUCAUGGUUUUGGAUGGGAUGAAAUGCCUAAUAGAGUGAGAGAUAACAGUUGUGAAUUAUUUCAAUGGAGAUGUAUGAGUACAAGUCGGCAGAGUGAUGCAGGCCAAUAAAAGAAAAAAAAGAACUUGGGAUUAAUCUGAGCCGAGCUUUGUUUCUUUAAACGGUCAUGUUAAAAUCUUCGGUUCAAGGGUUUUUGGCAUUUGAGUUUUGGGGGUAGAGUUGUAUGAAAGCUCCUCUAGUUUUGUUAAUCACAUGGAGAAGGCUUGGCUAAUCACUAAGGUAAAUCUUGUUAUUGAUCUAUUUGAAAACUUCAUUUUAAAUUUUGUCUGGGAUAAGAUUGAUUCUCUGGGCUCCAACUUCCAAUUAUGUAAGUUACCUUCUUAGUGAAGUUUUAUCUGUCUCUGGUCCAAUACAAGGAUACAAGAAGGUUGGCUCAUAAACUUAAAUAUGUACUGGGAAAUGGAAUCUUGAUCUCUAGUAGCUACUAAAAAUUAGUGGAAGAAUUAUUCCUUCUGUUUAAGCUAUCUUCUUUGAAUUUAGUUUUAGGUACCUCCUUCAUUAUGUCCUCAUUUAAAGUUUUCUAUUUCAAGAUUGGGUCGCAUUUAUCUUAGGGAAACAUAUACUUAACUAUGUCCUGGUGACGCGUUUUAGGCAUCUAAAAGUUUAUGCCAAGAGUUGCCAUAGGGUACAUCAAAGGGGAAGAACAUUACAUGAAGUGUCAUGUCUUAAUUCCAAAUAAUAGUGUACACAUACAGUUGAGUUGAAAGUGUUUAAACUUCGUUUCUGCUAUAAUGUAUUUGAUGUUUGUGUACAUACAUUUGAUUUCUAAUGGUGGUAUUGCUAUUAUGUAUUUGAUGUUUGGGAUUAAUUGACCACAUGAUGCCAAGCUUUUUUUCUUUCUUUAUGCACUCAUGUUAAAACCCUCGUUUCAAGCUCCUCUAGUUUUCGUAAUCACUUGCAGAGAGCUUGGCUAAUAUCUAAGGUAGAUUUUAUUAUUGAUCCAUUUAAAAAAGUCAUUUUAAAUUUUAUGGGGCUUAGAUUGAUUUUCUGGGCUCCAGCCUCCAAUUAUGAGUUUGAAUUUCAGUUAAACACUUCGUUUGUAUGUAUAUAUGGAAGUUACCUUCUUAGUGAGUUUUUAUCUGUGUAUGGUCCAAUAGAAGGAUACAAGAAGUUAGGGUUAUAAUCUUAAAUAUGAUCUGGGGGGUGGAUGUUGAUCCGUAUUAACUACUGAAGUUUAGUGGUAGAAUUAUUCCUUAUGUUUAAGCUAUCGUCUAUGAAUUUAGUUUUAGAUACUUCCUUAAUUAUCUUAGAGGAACAAAAACACUGGUAUUGCAGCAAGGAAAACAUAUACUUAACCAUAUAUGAUUGAGUUGAGCAUGUUUAAACUUCACUUCUGCUAUCUUCCCUGAGUCUUGCUACAAUGCGUUUGAUGUUCAUGUGCCCACGCAUUGACUUACAUUUGCUUUUCGAUGGUCGUAUUGUUUAGCAGGCAAAUCCCUGUGAGUGAGUUGUGGGCAAUUACAUGCAAGCCACAGAGGAGAUAUUAUGGGGUGAUUUAGUGUGAAUUGCUUAUUGGAUGGUGACUAUUUUAUUUUUUCUCCCUUAAUUACAACAAAAUAUGUAUUUAAACAUUUAUCACAACAAUUGUACACCAAAUAAUAUAUGUGCCCAACAAUUUUCUCAAAUUACUAACCAAAAUAAAAUUUGAAAAUUUCAUAAAUAUGGACUCCUUAUGGAAAGAAAGGAGCUGAAAACUGUUUUCGAGUUUUAGCGGCGGUUUUUAGGGACCGUCGGGGAAACACUUUUAGCAGCGCUUUGCGACGAUAAAAAUCGCAGCUAAAUCUCCUGCGCAUAAUUGGGACCCUAUUUUCGUCACUAAAGGCAGCAAAACCGUCGCACGCCGUAGCCAAAGAUCGGGAACCGUCAAUUAAAAGAAGAUUAGCUACGUUUUGCUGGUUGAAGUAUUUUUCCUUCUGAUUUACAGAUGCCAUUCACUUUCUUUCGACCAGAAUACCCCAUGCAAUUUAGUAAAUCUCGAAACAAGAAUUAAUUUACCAUCUAUACAAGUAACAUGGUGUAUAUCUGUGCAAAACCAUCGAUUAAGCAUAAAGAAAAGACUAGAUAGAAUUGAUGAAGAAAAAAAAAACUUGGUUUCUUCUUUUGUUUCUUCAGUAACUUAGGGCCUGUUUGAUAACUAUUUCAAUUUUAAUUUUUAGUUUUCAUUUUUGUGCUAAAGUAGGAUAAUGAGAGUGAGAAUGAGAGUGAGGAUGAGAGGGAGGACUAACAAAAGUGAAAACAAAAACUUAAAACUGAAAUCCAUUUGAAAUUGUUUUCACUUUUGUUACUCCUUCCUCUCAUCCUCUCAUGUCAUCUCCCCUCUCAAUCUCAUCUCCACUCUUAUUCUCACUUCCAUUCUCCCUCUUUUUUCUCUAUACUCUAGCACAAAAAAAUGAAAAAUGAAAAAUGAAAUGGUUAUCAAACGGGCCCUUAACUUCUUAAAUGUAUAGGUAGAGUUUAUGUGGCUGCCAAAUUAUAGAUGAAGUAGGUGAACUCUGAUAGCCUUCUCCUUAAGUGAUUGUGAACCCAGAAAGCAAGUUACCUAGUGCGUAAAAUGCUUGGGAAGUUAUACCAGCAACGUGUGGAAAACAUAAAGUGUAAGUACCAAAAGAAUUCAAUCAAAGCUGUUUAUAGCAACAAAUUCGAAUUUGCAUAAGAUAUAAAAGAUUACAUGAUGCUUGAUAUAAUGUUGGUAUAAUUAGUCAUCUAUGCAAAGGCAUAUGCCGAGGCAAAAUACAUUAAUACCAGCCCCUUCACUAUAAAAGAGCAUUUGUUCAACUGCAUAGAUUGAACGUCAACGUCUCUUACAUCUGUCUAUGUUUGCAACACUGAUAUUGUCCCCAGUUGUAGAUCAAUUUCCUUACGUGCUGUUUUUGUCUCCCCCACCUACACCUCUGCUACACACCUUAAAAUUUCGUACAAAUCCUUUUGAUGUAGUAAUUAGUUACGUUUAUGGUCUAUGCUGAAUGCAGUUUACUUGUGUUAACUGGACAACUUCUUGCAUGUAAAAGUAAUGUUUGUUAGAGGCGACCAGAUUCUAAAAGUUCCAUAAUCUUUUCGGUCUAAUUAUAAAGAAUUGGGAGCCGGCCUAACAAUUAAAAAUAACCAAUCAGCACAGGCAUAUUCAUACCAUAAGAAAAAUCAGCAAUAGUAUAGUGAGAUCUUCCCCUCUCUAUUUCUGAUAAAAACUAUAUAUUUUUCUCAUUUCUUAAUAGAAACUGUUACUUGAUAUAAUUAUAUAUCAGAUGGAACAAAUUACAAAAGUACAAAUUGAAAUGAUGAAAGAUAACAAAGUAAUACUUGGGUCUUGAUCCAUUAUCGCCCAUCAUCGUAAGGCAUGGCCAAUUGGAUCUGCAUGAUAUCAUACCCAGUGGUUGUACCAAGAGUUGUAUCUCUAGAACUACCAUCACCUCUAACAUCCACAAAAUAAGCCUCUGAAUUCAUAGCUGACCCAAGCAAGUACUCAGUCUCUUCUGGACUUGAAACUUGAGCUUUUCCCCAUGGAUGGUUUGCUGUAACUCUCAUUCCCUCGAGCUCCAUUGCCACUUCUUUCAUGCUAGGCCUCUCCUCCCCUUUCAACCUUACACAUCUUCUUGCGAGUUCUGCCAAGUUUCUUAGCGUCUCAAUGUUACUCUUGUUAACGAUGUCAUCAUCAAGAAUUUCCUUCAAUUGAUCUUCCUCCAUUGAACAAACAAAGAAGCUUACUAAGUUUUUCUCUUCUUCGGGCCUGGGGAAAGAGAGCGCUACUUUGCUUGUCAGUAACUCCAUAAGGACAACUCCGAAGCUAUAUACAUCACUCUUUUCUGUUAGUUGAUUCGAGAGGAAGUAUUCGGGGUCUAAGUAUCCAAGUGUUCCUUGCACUAACGUUGUUAGUUGAGUUUGAUCUAGAGGGAUCAAUCUUGAAGCUCCAAAGUCAGACACUUUUGCAGUGUAAUUUUCAUCUAGUAGUAUAUUUGUUGCUUUCACAUCUCUGUGGAUAGGGCAGGGGUAUGAAUCCUUGCACUCAUCAAUAUCUGAAAGGCAGUAAGGAAAGACCAACAUCAGGUAAAAACACAAUUUUAGCUUUUCCAGCGUCAACGUAACUUAGGUAAGAAGCCAAUGUAGUAUUCUUAGAAGAAAAAAAAAGUUUGGAUAUUUAGCAGGAAAUAUUGAAACAUAUAUAUUAGUACCACCAGCUGAUCCCGUUAGUUCCAAGCAGGAAAUUCAGGAUUAGGCUCAAGGGAAAGUAGUGGUAGAGGAGGAAUCAAAAGAGUCGGAGGAAGGAGUAGUGGUGGUUUUGGUUGUGGUGGUGGGUAUGGGUGGCUGAUAGGUACCAUCAACAUAUUUCCACAAACCGUGGCCAAUAAGGAAGGGUUUUAUUUGACCUAACCAGAUAAGGUAGAUGCUUUUUGUGAGUGAUAGGGAAGGGAGGGAGAAUCAGUGGGAGCAGAAUGUCCCCCACCUAAAACUUCAUGCAAAUCCUUUUGAUGUAGCAAUUAGUUUAUGGUCUAUCAGUAGAAUCUAGACGAAUUCUAAUAACUCCUAGCAAAUCAUCGAGUUCUUCCCCUUUCUAUUUCUAAUAAAAACUAUAUAUUUUUCUCAUUAAUUAAUUGAAACUGAUACAUAUAUAACUAUAUGACAGAUGUUGAGUAAAUUCCAACGGCCCACUUGUAAGUUCUUCACUAUGCCUAGAAUGAUAAACAAUAAUGUUGAGUAAAUCAUUUCAUAGCAAUUGUUCCUGCUUGUGACCAAGCAUUUUUUAUUUAUUUUGUUAUGUAAACAAUUUUUACAAGAAAAUGUUUAUUUAUAUAUAUAUAUAUAUAAAAUAAAAAUUUUAUUUUAAUACAAAUGAUAAUCUAAACUACUGUAAAUUAAUCUAAUUAUGGAGAGAUACUCAAACUUAGAACCUUAUGACAAUGAAAACAAAAAUGGGUAAAACUAAAACGAAAACAAUGAAAAAAUGAAGGAUAAAAGUUAUGUCGAGGUCAACAGUUUGACUUUCAAGUCGAAAGUCCAAAAAUGGAAUGGGCAGCCACAUCUUUGGACCACAUAUGGCCCAAAUCUGAUUAUAACCCGACCCAUUGCCUAUAAAGAAAUCGGCAAAAAUCCCCAAAUCAAUUCGACAAGAGAAAAUCCCUAAACCUUAUUACCAAGACGACGUCGCCGCUCGCACUACCGUAGCCGCCGUGGAACCUCUGUCGAGUUACUAAAGAGAAGGUAAACACUGGCGUUUACAAUGGAUAUCUAAUUGGUUGAAAAUUGCAUCUUCAUUUUUUUUCUUUCUAUUUCCAUACAUCGCACUCUGUAAAAUAUCAAAGUUUGCAUCUUUUUUCAAAAGUUGAUCGGAAACAAUCUGUAAAUGAAAUGGUUGGCCUGUAACUAAGAUUUAUUUCAUGCGACGAUCUUAAGAUUUAUGUAAUUUGUUUUCAUGGUUUUGGAAGGGAUGAAAUGCCUAAUAGAGUGAGUGAUAACAGUUGUGAAUUAUUUCAAUGGAGAUGUAUGAGUACAAGUCGGGAGAGUGAUGCAGGCCAAUAAAAAAAUCAAAACUUGGAAUUAAUCUGACCACAUGCUAAGCUUUUUUAUUUAUUCAAACAGUCGUGUUAAAAUCCUCGGUUCAAGGGUUUUUGGCGUUUGAGUUUUGGUGGUAGAGUUGUAUGAAAGCUCCUUUAGUUUUAUUAAUCACAUGGAGAAGGCUUGGCUAAUCACUAAGGUAAAUCUUGUUAUUGAUCUAUUUGAAAACUUCAUUUUAAAUUUUGUGGGGGAUAAGAUUGAUUCUCUGGGCUCCAACUUCCAAUUAUGUUAGUCACCUUCUUAGUGGAAUCUUGAUCUCCAGGAGCUACUAAAAAUUAGUGGAAGAAUUAUUCCUUCUGUUUAAGCUAUCUUCUUUGAAUUUAGUUUUAGACACUUCCUUAAUUAUGUCCUCAUUCAAAGUUUUCUAUUUCAAGAUUGGAUCACAUUUAUCUUAGGGAAACAUACACGUAACUAUGCCCUGGUGACACGUUUUAGGCAUCUAAAAGUUGAUGCCAAGAGUUGCCAUAGGGCUAUGUCCUGGUGAUGCAUUUUAGGCAUUUAAAAUUUGAUGCCAAGAGUUGCCAUAAGGUACAUCAAAGGGGAAGAACAUUACAUUAAGUGUCAUUGGUACAGAAGGGAAGGACAUUACUUUAAGUGCAUCAUGUCUUAAUUCCAAAUCAUGGUGUACGCAUAUAGUUGAGUUGAAGGUGUAUAAACUUUCUUUCUGCUAUCUUCCAUAGUCUUGCUAUAAUGUAUUUGAGGUUUGUGUAUACAUGCAUUGACAUACAUUUGAUUUCUAAUUGUGGUAUUGCUAUAAUGUAUUUGAGGUUUGUGUAUACAUGCAUUGACAUACAUUUGAUUUCUAAUUGUGGUAUUGCUAUAAUGUAUUUGAUGUUGGGAUUAAUUGACCACAUGGUGCCAAACUUUUUUCUUUCUUUAAGCACUCAUGUUAAAACCCUCGUUUCAAGCUCCUCUAGUUUUCUUAAUCACUUGCAGAAGGCUUCGCUAAUCUCUAAGGUAGAUCUUAUUAUGAUCCAUUUAAAAACUUCAUUUUAAACUUUGUCGGGCUUAGAUUGAUUUUCUCUGCUCCAGCCUCCACUUUUGAGUUUGAAUUUCAGUUAAAACACUUCGUUUGUAUGUAUAUAUGGAAGUUACCUUCCUAGUGGGGUUUUAUCUGUGCCUGGUCCAAUAGAAGGAUACAAGAAGUUAGGGUUAUAAACUUAAAUAUGGCCUGGGGAGUGGAAUAUUGAUCCCUAUUAACGACUAAAGUUUAGUGGUAGAAUUAUUCCUUAUGUUUAAGCUAUCUUCUUUGAAUUUAGUUUUAGAGACUUCCUUAAUUAUGCCCUCCUUCAAACUUUUCUAUUUCAAGAUUGGAUCAGAUUUAUCUUGAGCAACAAAACACUGGUAUUGCAGCCAGGAAAACGUAUAAACCAUAUUCUUGUGAACUUGGGCAUAUGAAUUUUAUGAAACGGGAAGAACGUUAUAUUAAGUGUCAUUGGCAGAGAAGGGGGAAGGAAAUUACUUUAAGUUCAUCAUGUCUUAUUACCAAAUCAUAGUGCACAAAUAAUUGACUUGGACAUGUUUAAACUUCAUUCAUGCUAUCUUUCCUGACUUACAAUGCAUUUGAUGAUUAAUCUUCAUUGACUUAGUUUUGCUUUCCAAAGGUCGUAUUGUUUAGCAAGCAAAUCGUACUGCUGUGAGUGAGCUUGUGGGCAUCUACAUGCAAGCCAUAUAGGACAGCAAACGAUGUGGUCAUCUACAGGCAAUUGCUUAUACGAUGGAUGGAGCUAUUUUGUUUAUUCUCCCCAAAUUUACAACAAAAUACGUAAACAUAUAUAUUUAAACAUUUACAACAACAAUCUGUACACCUUAGAAUAUGUAUAUGGCCAACCAUUUUCAUAAAGCAAAAACUAAAUAAAUUUAAAAAAUUCAAAAAU
rnacentral:lncRNA from 1 species